UACGAAGGGUGCAAGCGUUACUCGGAAUUACUGGGCGUAAAGCGUGCGUAGGCGGUUUGUUAAGUCUGAUGUGAAAGCCCUGGGCUCAACCUGGGAAUGGCAUUGGAUACUGGCAACCUAGAAUGUGGUAGAGGGUGGCGGAAUUCCCGGUGUAGCAGUGAAAUGCGUAGAUAUCGGGAGGAACAUCCGUGGCGAAGGCGGCCACCUGGACCAACAUUGACGCUGAGGCACGAAAGCGUGGGGAGCGAACAGG
rnacentral:rRNA from 1 species